rnacentral:sRNA from 1 species
GCAAAUAUCACACAUGUGCCGACACAGAUAUCGGGGUGCUAACUUUGGUAACAACUUAAGUUUAGUCGAGGUCUGGGGUACGUGGAGGAUUAAC